ACAACAGACACAGGGAAAUACGACACUCAAUGUUUGAUAUGAAAAAAAAACCUUCUGCUAAUUCAACUGCUUAACAGCUUGCAUUAAAACUGACCAUUGAAUAUCGUCAAGACUUUAGAUAACUGAAUACGGUGCUGAGAGAAACAAUCGAAAACUGAACAAAGUACAGAUGGUGCAAAUAUCUGCAUCUGGAUGUCCUCUGAAUCGUAUAAUUAUGGAUUUUUUAAACAGUUGAGUUAAAUAAGGGAACUUUAUUUUGACUGUCAAAAAGUUCCGGCCAAUUUUUAUUUUUAUUUAUAUAUUUUAGUCGAAUUGCUUGGAUCUUAGUCGUUGGUACUGUAUAGUUGUUAUUUUUGUUUUGAAUUAUUGGAAUAGCAUGGCAAGAAAAAGCGACACUCACAAAGUGGAUCAGGAUGAACCCAAGAAAUUGUCCUAACUUUGGAGUGAGGGUAGAAGGCUCACAAACAGGAAUAGUAGAUUGGGACCACUUGCGUAGGCUCGGGAAGAAGAAGAAGGAUCGCCAUGCGAUUGAAAAAGUGAUUGCGGUCUUAGAAUCUGGGCUCGGUAAGCUCAAUCUGAAGAAGACAUCUGACACAACAACAUGCCGAGUUGUAACAAAAAGUUGCGCGAGAUGAGAAUGCCAAGCAUCAAUUAAGCUGAACAUGCGACAACGAAAAACGAGGAAGCCAUUCACUUCUCGGGGCGCUGUGACCGCAGCGAACUAGAUAGAAGGGAAGGUAUAGGCUAUUUCGUGGGAUUCAAAACGACAUCCCGAACCCUAACCUUAACCCGGUGGCUUCAGACGAAGGUGACGUCAUUUAAUUCGGGAUGUCAGUGUCACGUGAUAUAGCCAAAAGGAAGGUGGGUGUUUCUAGCAGUCGAAGGGCCUUUUAACGUUGGUAGCUUAUUAUGAAAAACGAAGCAAAAUCCCCAAAGUUCUCAUCACGUUGCAUGCAAAGGAAUGAAGUAAAAGGAUUGCAGCUCUCAUCACGUGGCAUGCCAGUAAUGCAAGAA